AUUGAACGCUGGCGGCAGGCCUAACACAUGCAAGUCGAACGGUAACAGGAAGAAGCUUGCUUCUUUGCUGACGAGUGGCGGACGGGUGAGUAAUGUCUGGAAACUGCCUGAUGGAGGGGGAUAACUACUGGAAACGGUAGCUAAUACCGCAUAAUGUCGCAAGACCAAAGAGGGGGACCUUCGGGCCUCUUGCCAUCGGAUGUGCCCAGAUGGGAUUAGCUAGUAGGUGGGGUAACGGCUCACCUAGGCGACGAUCCCUAGCUGGUCUGAGAGGAUGACCAGCCACACUGGAACUGAGACACGGUCCAGACUCCUACGGGAGGCAGCAGUGGGGAAUAUUGCACAAUGGGCGCAAGCCUGAUGCAGCUAUGCCGCGUGUAUGAAGAAGGCCUUCGGGUUGUAAAGUACUUUCAGCGGGGAGGAAGGGAGUAAAGUUAAUACCUUUGCUCAUUGACGUUACCCGCAGAAGAAGCACCGGCUAACUCCGUG
rnacentral:rRNA from 1 species